AUCAGCCUGUUUUUCAACUUUCGAAAGUUGAAAACUCCUUUUCAGCAGUGUAUUUUUACUGUCAUUAGCCUAGAUUUUGAGUUUGGACUUCCUGUGAAUUUUCAACCUGUAUAUCAGUGUAUACACUGUGUAUAAACCAAGUGUACAACUUCAAAAUGAAAAACUGCAGCCAAGUUCCUGCAAACUCUAACUUCCAGCAGCACCUAUUGCCAUAUUUCGACCUACAAAUUGGUCUUAAUACCUACUAGACUUGAAACAGGCUGACUCAAGGAUCUUUUAACUCGGAGAAAUGUGAGAAUGGAGUCCAAAAUGGACUCGGAUCGAUGCCACAUGUAAAGAAAGCAAAAGGAAAGGAUUAAC
rnacentral:misc_RNA from 1 species